CGAACUUUAUUUCAUGCAAAAACAAGUUAAGAGAUAAGAAAUAAAAUAUAGUGGUAUGGAAAGAACUUGUGCUUCAUUUGUUCUAGCUGUUCUUGUAGUAGCAAUACUGAUUCUGAAUGGCUAUAAUGCUGCUAAGAGUGUAGAAACCGGUAUCCAACCUAAGAAAGCAGGAGUAGACGGAGAUGAUUGCUUUGGGGCAGAAUGUUUUACUUUUGACUGUUACGCAUUUUGUUCAAAAAAAGGCUUUACUGGCGGCGCAUGUGUAACGCCAUUAUUUUGUUGUUGCGGUUGAGGAGUUUGAGAGAUCUAUGUUUGAUAACUGUACAACUGUAUCAACAAAAUAGUCUUUAAGGUUCUUAUUAAAAGAAGUUGGAAGAACACUAUUGUAAGUUCAAUUAGGAUGUAAUUUCCAGUAUUAAGAAUUGCCUGCAACAAAGUAAAACAGACUUGCAUUUUUCCAGAUGAUGUCACAUACAUGAUUAGACAAACAAUCUUGAUUGUUGUGUAAUAAUGUGAUUUUACAAAAUCAAACAAUUAAUAAAGGUUUAAUUCA